AAGGAUCAUUAAUCGUAACAAA
rnacentral:rRNA from 1 species